rnacentral:rRNA from 1 species
AACGAACGCUGGCGGCAUGCCUAACACAUGCAAGUCGAACGAGACCUUCGGGUCUAGUGGCGCACGGGUGCGUAACGCGUUGGAACCUGCUCUUAGGUUCGGAAUAACUCCCCGAAAGGGGUGCUAAUACCGGAUAAUGUCUUCGCACCACAGAUUUGUCGCCUUUGGAUGGGCCCGCGUUGGAUUAGCUAGUUGGUAGGGUAAAAGCCUACCAAGGCGACGAUCCAUAGCUGGUCUGAGAGGAUGAGCAGCCACACUGGGACUGAGACACGGCCCAGAAUCCUACGGGAGGCAGCAGAGGGGAAUAGUGGACAAUGGGGGAAAGGCUGAUGCAGCAAUGCCGGGUGAGUGAUGAAGGCAUUAGGGUUGUAAAGCUCUUUUACCCGGGAUGAUAAUGACAGUACCGGGAGAAUAAGCUCCGGCUAACUCCGUG